ACCUGGCUGGCUCAGUCAGUAGAGCAUGUGACUCUUGAUCUCAGGGUUGUGAGUUUGAGCCCCAUGUUAGGUG
rnacentral:tRNA from 1 species